CCUGCCCAGUGAUUGAAAUUUAACGGCCGCAGUACCCUGACUGUGCAAAGGUAGCAUAAUCAUUUGCUCUAUAAUUGAGGGCUAGUAUGAAUGGUUUGACGAAAGUAAUGCUGUCUCUAUAAAAUUUGUUAGAAUUUAUUUUUAGGAUGAAGAAAUCCUAAUUUAAUUAAAAGACAAGAAGACCCUAUCGAGCUUUAAAUAUAUAUAUAAAGUGAAAAAGGUUGUAGUAAUAUUUUUGAUUAUAUAAUAUUUUGGUUGGGGCGACUAAGGAAUAAAUAAAGCUUCUUAAUAAAAAAAGAUUUGUGAAUAUAGAUCCAUUAUUAUAAUGAUUAAAAGAAUUAGUUACCGUAGGGAUAACAGCAUAAUCUUUUUUGAGAGUUCAUAUCGAAAAAAGGGUUUGUGACCUCGAUGUUGGACUAGAAUAUCCUGAGAGAUGCAGAAGUCUUCAAGGGUUGGUCUGUUCGA
rnacentral:rRNA from 1 species